UAGCCCUUGCCUUCCUCUGGACUGGUCACCUCUAAACUGCAGCUGGCUCUGGCCCCCAUGCCUUACUAUUUUUUUGUUUGUUUGUUUGUUUGUUUCAUUUUUGGCAAGUUCUGUAGAUCAAACUCAGGUCUUGGUACUCCAAAGGCAAGUAUAUCAUUGAGUCCUACCUGUCUCUCUAGGCCUUCAUAAGGUCACCUGCCUCGCUUGUCCUUUCAGCCUGCUCCUGCCUACACCCUGUGACAGAAGGUCCUUACAGCACCCCCACACUCCCACUCCCACCUCCCACCCCUGGAAGAGGUGAAAGGAAAGCUCUGCCCCACCUGCUGAAGUGCCUGAUCACUUUAUUCUUUACAUAAAGAGAAGUUUGCUGCAGGGAAUGAACAACAGCUAGCCAGUGAAAAUGGGAUUGCCCUUCCACCAGAGCGGCUGCUCAGCCUAAUUUGGGCCUGCAGUACACAUCUUCUGAAAGUGGCAGAGCCACCCUGCAACAAGGAAGAAACAACUGGAAAAACAACAAAAUAUUGGAGACAUGGAUUUGGAAGAGGAGCCCAUCUUAUCGAGGAUCCAGGCAUCGGCAUGGUUUACUGCUGUACCACCUGGUGAUGAACACGGACCGCUCUUCAGGUGCAGUGGUUUAGGGAAACACGCCCCCCACGGGCUCAUGUGUUUAAACUCUUCUGGAGGCACUGUUUGAGGACACUGUGGAACCUUUGGGAGAUGGAAGGCUUUGCUGGAGGAAGUAUGUCAAUAAAACAAGCUUGUUCCACUUCCUGUGCCCUCUGCUUCUUGCGUGGUGGAUGAAAACGUGGUCAUCCUGCUCCUGCCUCCAUGCAAUG